AUAAUAAAAAAAAAAUAAAGAAGAAAUAAAAUAAAUAAAUACUAAAAAAUAAAAAAUAAA
rnacentral:rRNA from 1 species